rnacentral:lncRNA from 1 species
UUGUGAGCCCGGUGUAAAACAACGAGUUGGGUAGUGAACUCGCAAAACUACCGUACUGUAAUCUUGGAUUAUAGUGGAAAUACCCAAAGGCGCUUUGGGGAGUGGAUGUAGGAGCGGUGGAAGCUCCGAACCACUAUAAAACUGUGUGUUUGUGAUUGUCUCUUCUCAUCCCACUAUCAUUACCUUAUUUCAUAUAUUUGUGUGUUUUAAUUUUAAUUAGCCGAAGAGUUUUAAAACACCCAAUUCACCCCCCUCUUGGGUGACCAUCUCUGGGCAACA